rnacentral:rRNA from 1 species
GAUGAACGCUAGCGGGAGGCCUAACACAUGCAAGCCGAGCGGUAUUUGUUCUUCGGAACAGAGAGAGCGGCGUACGGGUGCGGAACACGUGUGCAACCUACCUUUAUCAGGGGGAUAGCCUUUCGAAAGGAAGAUUAAUACCCCAUAAUAUAUUGAUUGGCAUCAGUUAAUAUUGAAAACUCCGGUGGAUAGAGAUGGGCACGCGCAAGAUUAGAUAGUUGGUAGGGUAACGGCCUACCAAGUCAGUGAUCUUUAGGGGGCCUGAGAGGGUGAUCCCCCACACUGGUACUGAGACACGGACCAGACUCCUACGGGAGGCAGCAGUGAGGAAUAUUGGACAAUGGGUGAGAGCCUGAUCCAGCCAUCCCGCGUGAAGGACGACGGCCCUAUGGGUUGUAAACUUCUUUUGUAUAGGGAUAAACCUACUCUCGUGAGAGUAGCUGAAGGUACUAUACGAAUAAGCACCGGCUAACUCCGUGCCAGCAGCCGCGGUAAUACGGAGGGUGCAAGCGUUAUCCGGAUUUAUUGGGUUUAAAGGGUCCGUAGGCGGAUCUGUAAGUCAGUGGUGAAAUCUCAUAGCUUAACUAUGAAACUGCCAUUGAUACUGCAGGUCUUGAGUAAAGUAGAAGUGGCUGGAAUAAGUAGUGUAGCGGUGAAAUGCAUAGAUAUUACUUAGAACACCAAUUGCGAAGGCAGGUCACUAUGUUUUAACUGACGCUGAUGGACGAAAGCGUGGGGAGCGAACAGGAUUAGAUACCCUGGUAGUCCACGCCGUAAACGAUGCUAACUCGUUUUUGGGCUUUAGGGUUCAGAGACUAAGCGAAAGUGAUAAGUUAGCCACCUGGGGAGUACGUUCGCAAGAAUGAAACUCAAAGGAAUUGACGGGGGCCCGCACAAACGGUGGAUUAUGUGGUUUAAUUCGAUGAUACGCGAGGAACCUUACCAAGGCUUAAAUGGGAAUUGACAGGUUUAGAAAUAGACUUUUCUUCGGACAAUUUUCAAGGUGCUGCAUGGUUGUCGUCAGCUCGUGCCGUGAGGUGUUAGGUUAAGUCCUGCAACGAGCGCAACCCCUGUCACUAGUUGCCAUCAUUCAGUUGGGGACUCUAGUGAGACUGCCUACGCAAGUAGAGAGGAAGGUGGGGAUGACGUCAAAUCAUCACGGCCCUUACGCCUUGGGCCACACACGUAAUACAAUGGCCAGUACAGAGGGCAGCUACCAGGCGACUGGAUGCGAAUCUCGAAAGCUGGUCUCAGUUCGGAUUGGAGUCUGCAACUCGACUCUAUGAAGCUGGAAUCGCUAGUAAUCGCAUAUCAGCCAUGAUGCGGUGAAUACGUUCCCGGGCCU